UUGCUUCAGCAGCACAUAUACUAAAAUCAGAACAAUACAGAGAAGAUCAGCAUGGGCCCUGCAUGAGGAUGACACAAAAUUUUGUUAAGUGUUCCAUUGAGCU